rnacentral:rRNA from 1 species
CCUACGGGUGGCAGCAGUGAGGAAUAUUGGUCAAUGGACGAGAGUCUGAACCAGCCAAGUAGCGUGAAGGAUGACUGCCCUAUGGGUUGUAAACUUCUUUUAUAUGGGAAUAAAACGUUCCACGUGUGGGAUUUUGUAUGUACCAUAUGAAUAAGGAUCGGCUAACUCCGUACCAGCAGCCGCGGUAAUACGGAGGAUCCGAGCGUUAUCCGGAUUUAUUGGGUUUAAAGGGAGCGUAGGUGGAUUGUUAAGUCAGUUGUGAAAGUUUGCGGCUCAACCGUAAAAUUGCAGUUGAAACUGGCAGUCUUGAGUACAGUAGAGGUGGGCGGAAUUCGUGGUGUAGCGGUGAAAUGCUUAGAUAUCACGAAGAACUCCGAUUGCGAAGGCAGUUCACUGGACUGCAACUGACACUGAGGCUCGAAAGUGUGGGUAUCAAACAGGAUUAGAUACCCUAGUAGUC